rnacentral:rRNA from 1 species
CCUACGGGGGGCUGCAGUGGGGAAUAUUGGACAAUGGGCGCAAGCCUGAUCCAGCAAUGCCGCGUGAGUGAUGAAGGCCUUAGGGUUGUAAAGCUCUUUCGCACGCGACGAUGAUGACGGUAGCGUGAGAAGAAGCCCCGGCUAACUUCGUGCCAGCAGCCGCGGUAAUACGAAGGGGGCUAGCGUUGUUCGGAAUUACUGGGCGUAAAGGGCGCGUAGGCGGCCUUGUUAGUCAGAAGUGAAAGCCCCGGGCUCAACCUGGGAACUGCUUUUGA